AUUGAACGCUGGCGGCAGGCUUAAUACAUGCAAGUCGAACGGUAACAGCAGAAAAGCUUGCUUUUUUGGCUGACGAGUGGCGGACGGGUGAGUAAUACCUAGGAAACUGCCUAAACGAGGGGGAUAACAUUUGGAAACGAGUGCUAAUACCGCAUAAUACUGAGAAGUCAAAGGUUGGUUUACCAAUCGCGUUUAGAUGUGCCUAGGAGGGAUUAGCUAGUUGGUGGGGUAAAGGCCUACCAAGGCGAUGAUCUCUAGCUGGUCUGAGAGGAUGACCAGCCACACUGGAACUGAGACACGGUCCAGACUCCUACGGGAGGCAGCAGUAGGGAAUAUUGCACAAUGGGGGGAACCCUGAUGCAGCCAUGCCGCGUGUGUGAAGAAGGCCUUCGGGUUGUAAAGCACUUUCAGUUUGGAGGAAGGUAUUUGAGUUAAUAGCUUAGAUAUUUGACGUUACUAAACAGAAGAAGACACCGGCUAACUACCGUGCCAGCAG
rnacentral:rRNA from 1 species